UACAGAGGUCUCAAGCGUUGUUCGGAUUCAUUGGGCGUAAAGGGCGCGUAGGCGGCCUGGCAAGUGGAAGGUGAAAUCCCUCGGCUUAACCGAGGAACUGCCCUCCAAACUGCUUGGCUUGAGUCCGGGAGAGGUGAGUGGAAUUCCCAGUGUAGCGGUGAAAUGCGUAGAUAUUGGGAGGAACACCAGUGGCGAAGGCGGCGCACUGGACCGGAACUGACGCUGAGGCGCGAAAGCGUGGGGAGCAAACGGG
rnacentral:rRNA from 1 species